UGAGCUGCUUGUAAAUUUUGGAGAUUAAUCCUUUGUCAGUUGCUUCAUUUGCAAAUAUUUUUUUCCCAUUCUGAGGGUUGUCUUUUUGUCUUGUUUAUGGUUUCCUUUGCUGUGCAAAAGGUUUUAAAUUUCAUUAAGUCCCAUUUGUUUAUUUGUGUUUUUAUUUCCAUUUCUCUAGGAGGUGGGUCAGAAAGGAUCUUGCUGUGAUUUAUGUCAUGGAGUGUUCUGCCUAUGUUUUCCUCUAAGAGUUUUAUAGUGUCUGGCCUUACAUUUAGGUCUUUAAUCCAUUUUGAGUUUAUUUUUGUGUACGGUGUUAGGGAGUGUUCUAAUUUCAUUCUUUUACAUGUAGCUGUCCAGUUUUCCCAGCACCACUUAUUGAACAUGCUGUCGUUUCUCCAUUGUGUGUUCUUGCCUCCUUUAUCAAAAAUAAGGUGACCAUAUGUGCGUGGGUUUAUCUCUGGGCUUUCUGUUGUGUUCCAUUGAUCUAUAUUUCUGUUUUUGUGCCAGUACCAAACUGUCUUGUUUACUGUAGCUUUGUAGUAUAGUCUGAAGUCAGGGAGCCUGCUUCCUCCAGCUCCGUUUUUCUUUCUCCAGAUUGCUUUGGCUAUUCAGGGUCUUUUGUGUUUCCAUACAAAUUGUGAAAUUUUUUUGUUCUAGUUCUGUGAAAAAUGCCAGUGGUAGUUUGAUAGGGAUUGCAUUGAAUCUGUAGAUUGCUUUGGGUAGUAGAGUCAUUUUCACAAUGUUGAUUCUUCCAAUCCAAGAACAUGGUAUAUCUCUCCAUCUGUUUGUAUCAUCUUUAAUUUCUUUCAUCAGUGUCUUUUUUAAAAAAAAUUAAUUAAUUAAUUUAUUUUUGCCGCGUUGGGUCUUCGUUGCUGCACGCGGGCUUUCUCUAGUUGCAGCGAGCGGGGGCUACUCUUUGUUGCAGUGCAUGGGCUUCUCAUUGCGGUGGCUUCUCUUGUUGUGGAGCACAGGCUCUAGGUGUGCGGGCUUCAGUAGUUGUGGCUCGCGGGCUCUAGAGCGCAGGCUCAGUAGUUGUGGCGCACGGACUUGGUUGCUUUGCGGCAUGUGGGAUCUUCCUGGACCAGGGCUUGAACCUGUGUCCCCUGCAUUGGCAGGUGGAUUCUUAACCACUGUACCACCAGGGAAGCCCCAUCACUGUCUUAUAGUUUUCUGCAUACAGGUCUUUUGUCUCCUUAGAUAGGUUUAUUCCUAGGUAUUUUAUUCUUUUUGUUGCAAUAGUAAAUGGUAGUGUUUCCUUAAUUUCACUUUCAGAUUUUUCAUCAUUAGUGUAUAGGAAUGCAAGAGAUUUCUGUGCAUUAAUUUUGUAUCCUGCUACUUAACCAAAUUCAUUGAUUAGCUCUAGUAGUUUUCUGGUAGCAUCUUUAGGAUUCUCUAUGUAUAGUAUCAUGUCACCUGCAAACAGUGACAGCUUUACUUCUUCUUUUCCGAUUUGGAUUCCUUUUAUUUCUUUUUCUUCUCUGAUUGCUGUGGCUAAAACUUCCAAAACAAUGUUGAAUAAUAGUGGUGAGAGUGGGCAGCCUGUCUUUGCCCUUAUGUAUUUUCCCAGAUUCAUACUUCAAAUCCCCAUGUCUGUAACACCCAGAUCCCCAAGAGUUAGUGAUUUCUGGAAUCCUGCCCAGAGCACUUGCCAGUGUCCCCUUGCUCUUCUGUUACCUCUCCCCCUACCCCGAAGGGGACAGAAGAGCACAGGGGAGCCCCAGGCAGGGACUCAUCUUGGGGAGGAGGGCUGGAACCUGUCUCUGAAAUGCUUUAAUUAUUAAAGUAAUACCCACCCCCAAAACCCAUUGUCCCGGAGGCUGGGAAGGACAGGCUGUUUUAAGUGGCAGCUUUCUUUGUGGCAGAACCUGGAUCCCCCUACACACAACAUCCUGGGAGGUGAUCUUUGGUGAGAUGAGGGAAUGGUUGUGACCCCAGCUCUGCUGCAAGAGGCAUCUGUGUGGAUCUCCACACGGAGAUCCUGGAAGCACAGGUGUCCUCACUGGGAGAGAAAGGAGCAUUUGGUCCCCGGCUGCAGUGAGACAUCUCACAUUCUGCCCCCCUGUCCUCACCACAGAAAGGACAAGAAAUGAAGGCCUUCAAGUCCUAUGAAAAAGACAGGAACUGGUGAAAUCUGAGUAAGGUUUGUGGUCACCUGAGACGUUGUACAAACGUGCAUGUUCUGGUCUUGGUGAUGCACAAUAGUUAUGUAAGAUGCCACCACUGGGGAAAGCUGGUUGAGGCCAUGAGACCUCUUCUUUUUUUGCAACUUCUUGUGAAUCCACAAUUAUCUCAACAAAAAAGAUUUAAAAAAAAUGGCAGACCCACAGAACAGGAGAAAAUAUUUUCAAAUCAUAAUUCUGAUAAGGGACUUGUAUCUGGACUACAUAAAUAAAGAACUCUUACAAUUUGUCUUAGUUUGGGCUACUGUUAUAAAUUACCAUAGACUGGGUGGUUUAGCCAACAAUUAUUUAUUUCUCAUAGUUCUGGAAAGUCCAAGAUCAAGGUGCCCUCAGAUUUGAUGGCUUUUUAGUUAUGUCCUCACAUAACAUAAGACAGAUCUUAUUUGCUUCCUCUUUUUUUUUGGCUGUGUUGGGUCUUCGUUUUUGUGCGAGGACUUUCUCUAGUUGUGGCAAGCGGGGGCCACUCUUCAUUGUGGUGCGUGGGCCUCUCACUAUCGCGGCCUCUCUUGUUGCGGAGCACAGGCUCCAGACGUGCAGGCUCAGUAGUUGUGGCUCACAGGCCUAGUUGCUCCGCAACAUGUGGGAUCUUCCCAGACCAGGGCUUGAACCUGUGUCCCCUGCAUUGGCAGGCAGAUUCUCAAACACUGCGCCACCAGGGAAGCCCCCUUUGCUUCCUCUUUUAAAAGGGCAUUAAUUCCAUUGUAAGAGCUCCACCCUCAUGACCUUAUCCAACCCUAAUUAUCUUCCAAAGGCCCCAGCUCCAAAUUUCAUCACACUGGGGAUGAGAAUUUCCAUAUAUGGACUUUGACGGGAUACAAACAUUCAGUCCAUACAAUUCAAUAAUAAGAAGAAAAAUAACCCAAUUUUAAAAAUAGGCAAAGAAUCCAUAUAGAUAUUUCUCCAAAGAAGGUGUGCAAAUGGCCAAUAAGCAUAUAAAAAGAUGUUCCACACCAUUAUCCAUCGUGAGAAUGCAGAUCAAAACCAUGAGAUACCACCUCACCUGUAAUAAAGAAGAUAAUUCCAAGUGUUGGCAAGGGUGAAGAGAAAUUGGAUCUGUUAUGCAUUGCUGGUGAGAACGUAAAAUGGCACCGCCAUCAGCCUUGCAGUUCCUCAGAAAGUUGAACAUAGAUAGUUACCAGCAAUUCCAAUCCUAGGUAUACACCCAAGAGAAGUGAGAACAUAUGUCCCCCCAGACCACAAAUGUUUAUAGAAGCGUUACUUAUAGUAGACAAGAAGAAGAAAUAACUGAUGAAUGGAAAAAUAAAAUGCGGUAUAACCAUACAAUAAUAUAUAUUAUUUGGCAAUAAAAAGAAAUGAAAUUCUGAUACAUGGGUGAACCUUAAAAACAUAUGGUAAGUAGAAGAAGGCAGAAAAGACCUGUAUGAUUUUGUCAGGCUCACCUAGCUCAGCCUCGCCUGAGAACCGAGAAGUCCCCAGGGCACCCCUCACCCCUGUAGCCAUGUCACAUGCACGGCUGUGGGGUGGUGUGAAGAAAAGUGGUCCCUGGCCUCCCCUCCCUGCCAGCUGGGCUGGGAGGCCCUUCACUGGUGCCAGGAGUUUGUCCUGAGGCUGUUGUGGGGCCCUGAAGCUGACCCUCCCCAGGCCAUACUGACCUCCCACUCAGCUGCCUAAGCUGUGAGGCUUGGCCAGGCCUUUCUGGCUGGGAGGUCAGGCCAAGGAGAGCCUUGGACACUGUGUCCUGGCUUCUCAUCCUCCCUGGCCAGGGGCUGAGGAGGAAAUAACAGGUUCCUAGGACUCUCAUGAGGGCCCAGCUGACUGGGCUUCCUGCACGUGCUUGGCCACACCGCACAGAAUGUGGGGUCUUAGUUCCCUGACCAGGGAUCAAACCCGCCGUCCCUGCAGUGGAAGUGCGGAGUCUUAAUCGCUGGACCCGUAGGGAAGUCCCUACCAAGCACGUUUUAUACUAUGUCUUCUCAGCCAAAGAGAGGAAGCAGGGUUUCAAAGGCUCAUCAUGGGCUCUGGGUCCAUAAGUGUCCCAGUUUCCUGUGUCCCUGAUGUCUUAGGACUAGGUCUGAGGCCUUGGGGGUAUUGUCACUUCCUCCGUAUCCUGCCCAAGCCCCAAGGGCCUGCCCGCCCAGGCCUUUGUCUUCUCCCUCACAAGCUGUGUGGGUUUCAAGAGGCUUAGCAGGCUGGGGUGUUGGGGCAGCUGCCUGUCCUGUCCCUCUGCUUGGAUUAUCCAGGGCUGCCCAGGUCCUUGGGGCCAUGGCUGAUGCAUAUAGGUGGGCCCAGCAGGUCUACCCCAGCCUCCCUGCAGGCCUGGGCCUGUGUCCCUGGCUCAGGUGCCCUUUUCCCACCAUUUGCUUCUAGAAACUUACGUGCAUGGGCCUUAGGCCCCAAGGACCACAGGGGGCUUUGCUGACAGCUGUACAGAAUCUGAGCUCCAGCGUGCUCUGUCCACGCUCCCCAUGGCCAUGGUGCUGCAGGACCCAAGGCCCUUCUCCAGGUGCCCGCUGCACAACCCCUUCUCCAGGGGGCUGAGGGUGCAGAGGCUGAGGUCUCGGAGUGAGAGAGACCCGGGUUCCAAUCCCAGCUCUGCCUUUUGCUACUGUGCUGGAGUAACUGGUGUCUCAUCUGAGCCUCAGUUCUACCUCAUCCAGUUGGAAGGGCUAAAUAGAUGUAUACACAUAAAGCGCUGGCUUGCAGGAGGUGUUCAGCAAUGUCACCUUCACUUCCCACUCCUCUGGUCCUGGCUGGCUGCAGCCCAGUCCUGGGACAACAGCCGCCUCCCACUCCUCGUCUCAGCCCCACCUUGGGGAUCCAUUUCAGGCAUCACAGUACCAGGGAUGACCAGCAGGUGGCACCCACCCCAGCUCCCUGUCCCCAGGCUGCUGCUUUGCAGACCUCCAUGGAUUUCCUUACUCUUUUUUUCUGGUUUACUGUAGUUUAUUUUGGAUUAUACAAGAAGGGGCAUCAGAGUUGUGUCAGGACCCAGAGCUCUGGCUGAGAGCUAUCCUCUUCCCCCCACCCCACUGGUCCCAGGCAGGAAGAGCGGGCUUGCCUGCUCUCCUCCUCCCGCUACCCAUGUGGGCUUCCUGCAGUGCCUGGGGCCAGCCUCCCUGGUGUUUGCCCUGAUGUCCGCUUCUGGUGCUUAAGUUGCCUCCAGUUGGUGCCAGCAGGCUGAUAAGCCCUGGCUCAGGACUCCUCCCCGCCCCUGCUCUUCCUGGCACCCUUUGGAAUUGGUGUUAAACGCAGGCACACAGCCUCUGGUCCAGCCAAACCUGGCUGAGUAGCCUUGCGAGCUGACUGUGGGUGUGACUGCUUCAUACUGUCCAGGUUGCUGGGCGGACAAAUAGACAUGUCUGUGAGUGUCUCAUCUCCCCAAGGACUCUGGAUCUCCUGGGAACCCCACCAGUGGCUGAGAGCACCCAGCUCUCUUUCCCUGGCAUUAGUUUGUCCUAGGUCGGGAUAAGGGUCUAUGCAUUUGGCUACAGGCAAGGCCUACCGUAGCUGAGCCCAGGGAGCAAGGGAGAAAUAAGCUGUGGUCACGGGGGUGAGGGAACCAGCCCCACGUAGAGGCUGGAGCUCGGGCCUGCACAGCUUUCUAAGUGUGAGCAGAAGCUCCUGGACCAGCUGUCAAAUACAGAGUCCGGCCCCAGAGGCAAGGCCCAGGAAACUGCAUUUUCACAAGUCGUGGGGAGGCAGUUCUGCACACUUGGAAUUGAGGACUGCUGGGUCUGUGGUGCUGGGUGGGAGAUUCUUGUUUUUCUUGAAGCCUGCAGCUCUGAUGCCAACCUGAGAGCUUCAUUCUCUCUUUCCCUCUGCUUCUCUGAGGUUGCUGGUUAAGAAGGCAUGGGAAGGAACUGGAACAAUAAGCAAGUGUCCUCCCUACCCCAGGAGACCUCGGACCACAGAGGUCAGACCAUAAGGCAGCUCCCUAGACCCCUGGGGCCGGGCCAGCUGAGGGUGAGAGUUUCCACCUCUGGGCUGGAAGGCAGGUUGCAGGCGAACCUGGUGGUGCUUGGGAAGCAGCAGCAGCAGCUCAGAACCAACUGCGCCAACCUCCCUACUUCUCCCUCCACCCUUCUUCCUCUGAACCAGCACUGGCUGCAUUCACAUCAAAGAAAAAACAUUUCAGGAGCCAAUUCAUUUUUCUCAAAACAUAUAUUUAUGACUCCUCUUGGUACAUCUUUGAGCACCUCUGCCGGGAUCUCAGGAAUGUGUAGAACUCACUCCCACGCUGUACCCCACACCCCCCACUAGGACUUGGUGACCAGGCCCCGCACGGCUUGCGCGAUGGCGUCCUUGUCAAUGCCGAACAUCUUGAGCAGCUCUGUUGGUUUUCCGCUUCUUGGCACAUGGCUGACAGCCAGGCGAGUGACAGUGACGCCAGGCUCGCCCAUUACUGC